rnacentral:rRNA from 1 species
GACGAACGCUGGCGGCGUGCUUAACACAUGCAAGUCGAACGAAGAGCGAUGGAAGCUUGCUUCUAUCAAUCUUAGUGGCGAACGGGUGAGUAACGCGUAAUCAACCUGCCCUUCAGAGGGGGACAACAGUUGGAAACGACUGCUAAUACCGCAUACGAUCUAAUCUCGGCAUCGAGGAUAGAUGAAAGGUGGCCUCUACAUGUAAGCUAUCACUGAAGGAGGGGAUUGCGUCUGAUUAGCUAGUUGGAGGGGUAACGGCCCACCAAGGCGAUGAUCAGUAGCCGGACUGAGAGGAUGAACGGCCACAUUGGGACUGAGACACGGCCCAGACUCCUACGGGAGGCAGCAGUGGGGAAUCUUCCGCAAUGGACGAAAGACUGACGGAGCAACGCCGCGGGAGUGAUGACGGCCGUCGGGUUGGAAAGCUCGGUUAAUCGGGACGAAAGGCCUUCUUGCGAAUAGUGAGAAGGAUUGACGGUACCGGAAGAGAAAGCCACGGCUAACUACGUG